rnacentral:tRNA from 1 species
GGACGGGUGGUCGAGCGGUCAAUGGCACUGGGCUGUAAACCCAGCGAUCUUCGGGUCUACGGAGGUUCAAAUCCUCCCCCGUCCACCA